ACAGGUAUCACCAAAGCAUCUUGGUAAAAUGCAUGUUCUGAUUCAGCAGGUCAAGGGAGGUCAGAGAGUGUGCAGUUCUAAUAAAGGCCCAGAUGAUGCCCAA
rnacentral:pre_miRNA from 1 species